CCAGACUCCUACGGGAGGCAGCAGUGAGGAAUAUUGGUCAAUGGGCGCGAGCCUGAACCAGCCAAGUAGCGUGAAGGAUGACUGCCCUACGGGUUGUAAACUUCUUUUAUAAAGGAAUAAAGUGAGGCACGUGUGCCUUUUUGUAUGUACUUUAUGAAUAAGGAUCGGCUAACUCCGUGCCAGCAGCCGCGGUAAUACGGAGGAUCCGAGCGUUAUCCGGAUUUAUUGGGUUUAAAGGGUGCGCAGGCGGGGGCACAAGUCGGCGGUAAAAUCGCGGGGCUCAACCCCGCUCCGCCGUUGAAACUGUGUCCCUUGAGUGCGCGAAGGGUAGGCGGAAUGCGUGGUGUAGCGGUGAAAUGCAUAGAUAUCACGCAGAACUCCGAUUGCGAAGGCAGCAUACCGGCGCUCAACUGACGCUCAUGCACGAAAGCGUGGGUAUCGAACAGGAUUAGAUACCCCAGUAC
rnacentral:rRNA from 1 species